rnacentral:sRNA from 1 species
UUACAAGCCUAAGUAUUAUAUCCUUUUUAGAAAAUACAAAGACAAACACUCAUACGGACUUUGGCUACACCAUCAAAGCUUAGAGAAGCAAGAAGAAGGUUGGUUAGUGUUUUGGAGUCGAAUAUGACUUGAUGUGAUGUGUAUGAUUGAGUAUAAGAAAUUAAACCGCAACCGGAUCUUAAAAGCCUAAGUAUUGUUUCCUUGUUAGAAGAAACAAAGGCAAAGCCUCAUACAAACUUUAGCUUUACCAUCAAAGCCUUGAGAAGAAAGAAGAAGCUUGGUUAGUGUUUUGGAGUCAAAUAUUACUAGAUGUCAUGUGUAUGAGUGAGUAUGACAACUAGAACCAUAACCGGAUCUUAAAAACCUAAGUAUUGAAUCUUUGUUAGAAGAUACAAAGACAAAGACUCAUACGGACUUCAACUACACUAUCAAAGCUUUGAGAAGCAAGAAGAAGCUUGGUUAGUGUUUUGGAUUCGAAUAUGACUUGAUGUCAUGUGUAUGACUCAGUAUAAACACUAGAACCGCAACGGAUCUUAAAAGCAUAAGUAUUGUAUCAUUGUUAGAAGAUACAAUGACGAAGACUCAUACGGACUUCGACUACACCAUCAAAGCUUUGAGAAGCAAGAAGCAGUUGGUUAGUGUUUUGGAGUCGAAUAUGACUUGAUGGCAUGUGUAUGAGUGAGUAUAAAAACUAGAACCGCAACGGAUCUUAAAAGCCUAAAUAUUGUAUCCUUGUUAGAAGAUACAUAGACAAAGUCUCAUACGGAAUUCGGCUAAACCAUCAAAGCUUUUAGAAGCAAGAAGAAGCUUGGUUAGUGUUUUGGAGUGAAAUCUAACUAGAUGUCAUGUGUAUGAGUGAGUAUACCAACUAGAACCACAAUUAGAAUUUUAAAAGCCUAAGUAUUAUAUCCUUUUUAGAAGAUACAAAGACAAACACUCAUACGGACUUUGGUUACACCAUCAAAGCUUUGAGAAGCAAGAAGAAGCUUGGUUAGUGUUUUGGAGUCGAAUAUGACUUGAUGUGAUGUGUAUGAUUGAGUAUAAGAAAUUAAACCGCAACCGGAUCUUAAAAGCCUAGGUAUUGUUUCCUUGUUAGAAGAAACAAAGGCAAAGCA